CCUACGGGAGGCAGCAGUAGGGGAUAUUGCUCAAUGGGGGAAACCCUGAAGCAGCAACGCCGCGUGGAGGAUGAAGGUUUUCGGAUUGUAAACUCCUUUUGUUAGGGAAGAUAAUGACGGUAUCUAACGAAUAAGCACCGGCUAACUCCGUGCCAGCAGCCGCGGUAAUACGUAGGGGGCAAGCGUUACUCGGAAUCACUGGGCGUAAAGAGCGCGUAGGCGGGAUAGCAAGUCAGAAGUGAAAUCCUAGGGCUUAACCAUAGAACUGCAUUGGAAACUGUUUUUCUAGAGUAUGGGAGGGGUAGGUGGAAUUCCUGGUGUAGGGGUAAAAUGCGUAGAGAUCAAGAGGAAUACUGACUGCGAAGGCGACCUGCUAGAACAUAACUGACGCUGAUGCGCGAAAGCGUGGGGAGCAAACAGGAUUAGAUACCCCAGUAGUC
rnacentral:rRNA from 1 species